GUCGCACCUUCCCAUACAGCCGAGACCACUUUGCACUAUUGGCAUACACCUAAGACAGAAAUCGGCUUGUCGUUGGUGACACAGUUCCAAAUAUAUUCCGCCUCAUCCCAGUGGGAAUUGCAUGAAAAAUGUUUACACUACAUGACCAAAAUAAGGUCAACAUUCGCCGUUAUCUGGCUAAAGAACAAUAAGGCAGUAGGACCCAAUGGAUUACCACAUUGGUUAUUUAAAAAUCAGAUAAUUUCGACCACACUGUCUAGUAUACAUUGCCAUGGGCACAAGACAUAUCAUCACAGUGGAAUGCUCAUCAGAAUUCUGUUCAUAGCAUAUAAGACAUAAUCAAGUUACUGUUUAAGUGUUUCGGCAUGGCUAUAGAACUGAAUUUUCAUUAACAUUUAUCCUGCGUGUAUUUAUCAAUGUAUAUAAAAGCCUUAAGGGCAUAACGAAAGAAUCCUUAACGACACACAUAUGGAUUGAAUGUCAGGAUACAACGUGGAAGUUGUUGCAAAACAUGAGAGAAAAUAUUUUUAUUAUAAUUUUUUAGAGUCUGUUCCGGAUAAAGCCGAAGGUGGUGAAGGCGGUAAGUUGAAAAUAACAGCAGUAUAUAAUACGAUUUUGUUUCUUUUUUCUUCUUACUCUUCCCUAUGCCAUCGAACGUUUGUGUUUUUCGAAUUUUUCUUGCAGAGAUUCUCUUUUUCAAAAUUUUGAUUUGGUAAACGUAAGUGUAACGACACGACCAAUGUACAUUUACGUAUGGAAAUCUGAAACGGAAUUGACAUGACAUAUCCCAGACGUAUUGCAUGGGGAAUAUUAAAAUACAAUAUGGCAGCAGCAAUGCAAGACUGAAAGGGCCAGAAAGACUCAUGGCGAAAAUCGGUAAGAAACGCAUAAAAUUGUAUCAUCAACGCACCAUACGGACACAAAUGCAUAUGUAUAAGGAAAUGACUAUUCAAAAAAAUAUGUCAUUGUAAGAAUAUGGUUUGUGAGACUUGUAACUUUCUCUUAAAGAAAUGCAAUGCCCAACCAAAAGCAUGAAAAUAAUCACAUGAUGAAUACCCAAGAUUAAAUUGACUUUUAAUGGAAGGAAAGAAAAUUAUUGGAAAUAAAAAUUUGAUAUCGAAGUUGUGGUACUGAAA